rnacentral:lncRNA from 9 species
AAAAAUAGCUCUAAGGAACCGCUUUCAUUGUGUGCACCUGCCUAUUCAUCCAGACACUCCGAGGAAGCUCCUGGAAAUGAAAUACGGCUUCGUCCACACGAUAAAUCACACUCAGAAAGGAACUCUCUGCCCACAAGAUCCCUGUGAAAUGUCGCCUCGAAUGAAGAUAGUUCCUGCCAGGUACAUAAACUCACUACCUGCAGAGACAAAAUGGCAUGGCUGCAGGCAUUUAAGUGACAAUAGCUAUGUUGAUGAGAACGGUACGUGACUAUUCCUAGUAUUAUGCUCUUCCUUUUCCAUCUUUCUGAGUAAGGUGUUGGUUAGACGCGUAAACGUAUCCCAGCAUCAAGGCCCUUCUGCUUCCUUCUGCUGACCCUCUUGUUCAAAAUAGCAUCUGGCAGUAGCCUCUCCUCCCCCCACCUCACCCCCUCCCUUCUCCAAAUAUCCCAG